UGCUGAAAAAUUAAAACGAGAACAAACCGCGCUGCGUUCUCUAUUUUUUUCUUUUCGCUUUUUUUCUCAUAAUUGUCAUGCCUGUUAACGAACAGUUUCGCGUUCACGGGAGAAAUAAAUAAACGCCGUGGCGUACAGAUUUUUCGCCACUUUCAACAGCACUCCAAUGAGAAUACAUAUAAUGUAGUAUACGGUUGGCCGGCCGUUAUUCGCCGUCGAGGUUGUCGACAGUUAGGGCAACACGUAGCUGCAUAAUCGUAUGCAGAUGCACGACUGGCCGUACACUCAUCCACCAAACUCCAUUCCUACUCCACAUGCAAAUCGUCCACUUGCAACGAACCCGCCAGCAGUAGUUGGUACUGUAUGAUCGAGCGGCUGGCCCGUUUCUCUAUUGGUACAUCGGUUAUGUCUCGUAUAUUUACGUUGCUCAAAUUCAGGACCGUGCGAUUUCUUUGUUAAAGGAACCGGAGAGUUAUAGAGAAGCGACCAACAAUGAUACCUGACGGAUAUCCUUAAUUAGUCAGGUGUUGCGACCACUUUGAGAACAUUGAGAAGCGUGUGGCAAAAAUGUGAGGGAAAGAGUAAGCGAUGACGAGUAUACUCGUCAGACACAGGGAUUCGUCGUUUCUUCGUGACGAAUAAACUCGUCGAAAGAGCUAAGGUCCAUUGGCUUCUCAAUUUCAAUUAUUCAGUGGAACUGUAGGAUCAGAUCAUUCGUCUAACGAACUUCUCGGGAACUGAAUUAAUUACGCUUUUUGUAAGUUUCUCAAUUUCGUAGGAAAAAGUAAGCGAUGACGAGUAUAUUCGUCAGACACAGGGACUCGUCGUUUCUUCGUGACGAGUAUACUCGUCGAAAGGACUGACUGGUUAAGAUGCAUUGGCUUCUCAAUUUUACUUAUUCCGUGGCACUGUAUGAUCAGAUCAUUCGUCGAACGAACUUCUCGGGAACUGGAUUAAUUACGCUUUUUGUAUGUUUUUCAAUUUCGUGGGAAAAAGUAAGCGAUGACAAAUAUAUUCGUCAAAUACAGGGACUCGUCGUUUCUUCGUGACGAGUAUACUCGUCGAAAGAGCUAAGGUCCAUUGGCUUCUCAAUUUCAAUUAUUCAUUGGAACUGUAUGGUCAGAUUAUUCGUCGACCAACUUUUCGGGAGGUAGAUUAAUUACACUUUUUGCAAAUUUCUCAAUUUCAUUAGGAUUUGGGGUAAUUUACAUACGUCCGUGACUCUGCAUUUGUGAAUUUGAGAAUUGAGAUUCUCUGAAAAGUAAAAUAUAACGCGUUUCCGCGAAUACAGUUGCGAGCGUAUAAAUAGACAAGUGGUUGCACGUAAAUCCAACUAAUUGUAUCUGUGUCAUAAAAGCUUUAAUUUAUGUUUUUCUCGUCCUGUGAUACACGAUCUAGAAAUAUAUUGCUCGCGCUUUGAAGCGCUAUGAAUAUAGAACAGCGUGCAAAUUUUUAUUUCCAGUAAUAAUCACAAACUGAUUGCCAGUUAUAAUUGAUACAGAUAAACAUCUCAAUUAUUUAUCACAAUAAAAUAAGUAUAAGUAACCGUAAAUUUCUAUUACUAAUUUAAUAAUAAGCCGAUCGCUUAUAUUGUAAAUCGUCGAAAGUGAGAAUAUGCUGCAAACAAUUGUACGUCUCGAUCCAGUUUUUAUAGUCACGUGAAUUUUAUCAAGCGCAUAACUACAUCAAAUUAUUAAGUAAAGUGUCGCACAGAUCAAAAUUUACUGUCCACUUUGUACUAAUUAUGCACGCCACUUACCGAGGGCUCAUUUGUGCGUGUUUCGCAGCGAAAGGAUCACAACGUUCCGUCAGCGUUCAUAAUAGCCUUGCCAGUAAUUUGAAAUAAAAUAACAGAAUGUAGUUUGUGGUUUAAUUAAAAUUAUUCAACUCGGACAACUUGCAAUACUCUUAUCGUUAGAAGCGUAUAAAAUUAGAUGAAUCAAUUUGCGUGUACGAUGGAAAUUAAAUUUCACUGUUGCGUGGAUAAACGCAUAAAUUAUUUUCAUACGCGUAAUCCUAUCAAUGACUAUGUUACAUCAACUUUCCAUUUUAAACGUUAUAGAAAUUGAUAAAAAAUUACCUGUGCAAAGUGAAAAAAAUUUUUUGAGAAGUAAAACAGCAUCUGUUUUAUCAGAUGGAAAACUUUUUUAAAUAGCGAAAAAUAACAUUUGCGAAUUUUACAUGUUGCUCGAUUUUACCAACAUCUACAAAUUCCUUUGUUCCCUCCAUUAAUGACACUUUACUCGAUCAUCUUUAUUAUGCGCGUAGAUCUAAUCUGCUGACCGCCAAUAUCACUUUGCAAAGUACAUUAACAGCUAAUGGCGUAUAGGUAUGGUACACUUAGUAUUACGUCGAAUAAUAUGGUGGAAUUAAAUGAGACGGAAAUUGCAAGCACAGAGUUGUUUAAGCGAAAGGAGACGAGAAUUGUCAUUAUAAGAACUGAAAGUGAAGAAGUAAAAUGUAAAUUGGAAUUUUUCCCUGUUGCUAUUCUUUGUAUGUUGCAUAUUUUAUAUACCUGCGCGUAAUACUGCGUCUAUUUAUCAGAGAAUUCAAAAUUUCAAAUUCGAGCUUCUAUAAUUUAUUUAUUUUCAAAAAGGACUGUACCAUCCUACCAGCUUGCAGUAUAGUAAAUUUAACAAGAUUCUGUGAAUCAGUUUGCAACAAUGAAUUGAUAGCGAUAAUGCCAUUUAUUGGGAGCAAAUUUUCUCACGCGAUGAUAACACGUGCCGUAACAAAGCCAAUAAAAUCUACGCGCAGAAGAAUAACAGAGUGCCGAUAACAUCGAAUCGUAAUAAUGAAAACCGUCAGAUUGUUUGUAUUCGUAACAAUAUAAUGUACGACAUUGCUGGAAAACAAGCGUCCGUGGAAAGUACAAACGCGUGUAGUUCGACAAGUGCAUUCAAUUUUAAUAAGCAACACGACAGCGAAAGCCAUUUCACUCUGAAAAUGUUCGCAUUUAUCUCAAUAAGCACGAAAAUCGCAUCGCCAACGAGCUCUUACGCUUAUGUUAGGAUGUUUUCUUUAUUCAUUCUACGCCUAUGUAUUGUAUGUAUUUCGACGCAUCGACCGAAAGGUAGCUUAGACAGCUGCCUCAAUUCUGUGACGUGUGAAUAAGCGCGUGUCACUUUACCGACCGCUAGCGAUUCAACAGCAUACGCACGUCCGACCGGCAUCUUAGACGCAGAUUCUCCCCACCGCUGGCUCUGUUUCGGUUUAGACUCUCCAAUACCAUUCUUUUCGUUCAUCGCGAACGUUAAGUUUUUCAAAUUGGUAUAAAACUGUGCGAGCUUACAGAGCAACGCGACUGACGCAACCGAGCAAGGUACAAAUUACUGCUCAAAUAAUGAGAAAAAUUAUCUGCGACAAAAAGCCCAUUAAUAUGCUAUCGGUCGGUAAACGUCGGCGACAAAAACCGACUAACCUCUUCCCGUGCCAUUUAGUUCGACGAAACAGACCAGACUGAUGCUUGUAAACAUUCAGCCACGAUCGUAACGGGCAAAAAAACAGUCCGCGAGCUCGGUUUGUUAUGUUUACGUUUGGGUCAAGUAUGUGGUCGCGAGUCUGACUCGCUAAAGUACGGGAAGCGGUUAACCGGCUAUCGGUCGGUAAAGUGGUAUUAGUCGCACGAUAAAUUCGUUCGAUGCGUUCACGUUCUUUGCAACGUGUUUUACUUACACGGAAUGGUAAAUAGUCGCGUAAGAUGAAAUUGAAGCUGAAAAGGCACUCUCUGCUAAUAGCAAUCAUUUUCAUUAUCACAUAUCAAAUAAUUAGAAGAAAUAUGUGAAUCCAUUUUCUACGUCGCGCGUUGAAUAAAUUUAGCCAACGAUCGUCACAAACGAGUUUUAUCGUUGCACGAGAUGAUCCGAAAGUAAUAGUUCGAAAUAGACGAGGAUAAAG